CCAAGAAACAGGUUUCGAAGAAGGCUGACGAUAAAGAAAAAUAUUUCCAUUGCAAUGUCGAAGGCUACUAGAGAAGGAACUAUCCGGCCUACUUGAUGAUUGUCAAGAGCAGGAAGAAAGAUGGACCUUCUGAAGGUAUGUCUGAGUUGCUUAUUAUUAAAACUAAUCUAACGAUUUUUUCUUCUUCUAGUUGGAUUCUUGAUUCUGGUUCAAGUGCUCAUUUGUGCACUUCAAUGCAGGGUCUUUAAGAAGUUAGGGGGCUG
rnacentral:lncRNA from 1 species